GUGGGGAAUUUUGGACAAUGGGCGCAAGCCUGAUCCAGCCAUUCCGCGUGCAGGAUGAAGGCCUUCGGGUUGUAAACUGCUUUUGUACGGAACGAAAAGCCUCUGGUUAAUACCCGGGGGUCAUGACGGUACCGUAAGAAUAAGCACCGGCUAACUACGUGCCAGCAGCCGCGGUAAUACGUAGGGUGCGAGCGUUAAUCGGAAUUACUGGGCGUAAAGCGUGCGCAGGCGGUGAUGUAAGACAGAUGUGAAAUCCCCGGGCUCAACCUGGGAACUGCAUUUGUGACUGCAUAGCUAGAGUACGGUAGAGGGGGAUGGAAUUCCGCGUGUAGCAGUGAAAUGCGUAGAUAUGCGGAGGAACACCGAUGGCGAAGGCAAUCCCCUGGACCUGUACUGACGCUCAUGCACGAAAGCGUGGGGAGCAAACAGGAUUAGAAACCCGGGUAGUCC
rnacentral:rRNA from 1 species